rnacentral:miRNA from 1 species
UUUCAAAAAUUAUAUAUAUGUGUGUGUGUGUGUGUGUAUGUGUGUAUAUAUAUAUAUAUAUAUAUAUAUAUAUAUAUAUUC